rnacentral:lncRNA from 1 species
AGUUGUUACAAGUGAUGUCUUAUAUUUUUCUGAUCUUGCCUUGCAAGUGGUACUCUUUAGAAUAACUAUUCUCCUUUAGUUCUAAUUUUUUAGUAGGCAAUCUGUUAUGCCAUGAGAGGCAUUUGAUGUUGUUGAGAGGAUUUUUCUUUUAAUUGUUAAUGUCCGGUAGUUUAAAUGCCUGGUUUAUAGUUGUCUGUUGCCUUUUUGGCUAGUUUCUCUCCCUCCUUCCCUCCCUCCCUCCUCCCCCCACCUCUCUAAAACUUUAUCUGCAUUCGGACAUGCAUGCACAUAUGCAAGCAGGUGCACACACACACAUGGAUGUGAACUUUAGUUGCUUGUGAUAAUGAAGUUGCAUGAUUCAUAAGUUCCUGCAUUUCAGUGGAAUACAUGUAUGUGCAGAUAUUUGACUUGGUUAUUGUUGUUGAGUUAUUCAACUUGUUCUCUCACAUGGGGGUGAUUUUACAUCACAAAUUGUUUUCCUUUCUUAAAUCUGCUUGUUCUCUCCCAGCAACUUCUUGUUUACAUGUUUCUGUGUAUGUUAUCAUCCUUAUGUAUAUUGUUGUUGCCUUUUCCUUACUGCUAUUCCUAAAUUCAUGUCUUGUUACAGAUUUGACAAGUUAAGGAAUCAAACAAAUAUCUCUGAAUAAAAUAUGAUAGUGCAAGAAUCUCUGCUGCUCUUCCCUUUAAACCCUAUAUGUGACAAUAAUCUGCGGCAUGGGUUUUCCUGAUAUCUGGACAAGGAGUACUUGGUGUCAUUUUUUUGGUUUCCUCCUACUUUUUUUGAUAGUUUAUCUUUGAAAUUUGUGGUUCUUGGGACUUUAUGGUUACCGAAGACCUAUCUUUGUUAAAUGAGUUUGGAGAAUGAUCUUGUCGAUUUGACUCCUGUGAUAGCAUUUCGGGUUCUCCAAGGUGUUCAUGCUUCCAAAGGAUGAUGAUGAUGAUGUCUACUCCUUUGCCUAAUAUAGAAGGGCAGCAGAAAAAGGCCUUUUAGGAGGUUACUUUCAUUAGAAUGUAUGUUGGUGGUGGGAAUUCUUUAUGAUAUUUUUUGUGAUUAAGGAUAUUUUCUAUAACAUAGUUAAUUUGUUAUAAUUAUGUUUCAUCUAAAUUUUAAUAUAUUCGAUGCAUUUAACAUAUUUCUCGCAAGAUGAAUAGAGAACCGAAUCUAUUGAUCUAGCAAGACUUUGCUUUUUAAUAUUUUGGAAUAAAAAUCAGAUUCUUAAUAUUUUUUAUAGGGAACUUUGAAUGACUAGCGAAAACAAAAGUUCUG